UCAAUAUCUGCCUUUCGGGGCAUUUUAUAACCAUAUAGUUAAAAGUACAUAUAUGAAGAAAACAUACGCUGGCGAAAGCCUGACUACUGUCGAGGGUUGUCUUUGCAGACACCAGAAUAAGAUUUCUACAAUGUUACUACUUUAGUGGCAUUUCUGCGUUUCGCAUCUGCAUCACUUAUCAGCACGCGUCUCAUCCCGUAUAAUUCCCUGCCUUGUGUGCUGUGCCGCUCGGGACUGGAUCCAAGACCCCCUCAACUCCUUCCUCAUAACCGUGUACAGGAAAUGUGGAUGGAUGGAGGGGCAUUAUUUGCAUGGUGACAUCAUUGAAGAUAUCCUUGACAAUGGAGAAGUAAAUCUGAACGGUGAUCCAACAGCUUCAAGGAUGCUUCAAGACUCAUCUAGGAUCCCUCUUGAUCAUUGAUGGAUGCUGCAUUCUUAUACCACAAACAGUGAUUGAAAUUUCAUGUUACUUUAUGACCCGUGAAUCAUACAGCUGAAGAUGACAAAAAAUAUUUACACUUAUUUUAUGUAGCAGACAUUUUCAUUCAAAGUGGCGCAUGUUUUUUGAGACGAGCCCUGGAGCA